AAAAACCACAAUUACUUUU
rnacentral:miRNA from 1 species